AAAUGACUCAAGGUUUAUCUAAUGGCGACCAAACAAGUAAAAACGGUUACCAUAUUUUUGAAAAGAGAUUAGCCUAGCGGAUUAAUUUUAGUGGUAAACAAAAGACAAAGAAAAUCUAAUGCCAUCUCUUAUGUUUUAAUGUCUUUACAAUUAAGUAAAGAGUUGUUGGACAAUCAACUUAACCCUAAUGUACCAGAUUCAAAACAACAAGGGAUUAACUUACUGAACCAAAUCAGAUUGGGUGACUGUUUCACGGUUAGUUGAUGGCUGAUCCAUGGCUCACAGUGAGUUAUAACAAAUGUUCUGAUAAUGGUGAAUACAUUGAAAGCAAACUAAAUCCUUCUGGCAAGGUAUUUUCACAGUGUAAACAAGUGAACCACAGUGAUGUUUGAUAUAUUGGUUAUUUUACUCUGGUUUGGUUUUUGCUUCUUCAUUUUUCAACCUACUCAUGGCAACUCGACACAAUCAAUGUGAUGAUAUUGGACUUGUUUCUUGUCUUGUUUGAUUAUCCAGGAUCAGCACAAUUAAUUGACCUACACAAAGUUUCAGAAGAUCCAAUUUCUUGCUCUGGCUACUCAUCAAAGUUUCAAGACUAACUCAUCAAUCAAUUAGCUUGUAAGGUAUAAAAAGACGCCCAUCGUAUUUGGAUUUUGGUCAAAAUUAAUUCAACUUACGUUAUUAUCGAGUUAGAGAGAUCAUUCAUCUUGUAUACAUUGUAACCAUUAGUGGCAUUUUCGUUGGUAUUUUUC